rnacentral:lncRNA from 1 species
UGUCAUUUGGGCCCCAGCUGAGUAGGGAGGAGGACCUUGCUCAGCGCUGAAAUCACUGGGUCAAAGGGCAUAAAUAGGCUAGGUUUUUUUUUCCAGUUUUUUCCCCAGAAGGCUAUUUUCUUGGACCUUCCUCCCCCCCACCCCCAACACUGACGAUUCCCGUUUUUGGCGCUGAUUGGCCGAGUUGCUCACCCGGAGGGCACAUAUCCAAGAUGUGAUACAAAAUCUUCCAGGACUUCUCAGUACAGACAACCCCUAUCCCUCUCUGCAUGUCCAAGGCCAUCCUGUUUCCCCAGGCCAUCCUGCUUGCAGCAUCCAAUUGGCUGGCAGUGUCCUUUACUGCCUCUCCUAAGAGUCCCGAUUUGGAGGGACACCGGACUGACCGAAGACCCAGUGGCGUGAGUCAGAGCCUUGAAGCUGGUCAAUACAACUAGAAGAAAAAAACGAACCUAAGAAGCUGAGGUCAGGGACAGACAACGACUGCUGAGGGGAUCUCCACUUGGAGACAUUGCCCAUGUCAGGACCUUCAGAAAUGUUUAGAGGAGGUUCAUCUCACAGCCUGAAGUUUGGCCAAAAAGUUGAGGCAGGUGAGUUGGAGAGAGAGAGCUCCUCCCUCUUGGGCCUUCCACCUAACAGUGGCCAGUGAAAAGAGAUUUCACAAGACUGAAGGGUUUUUUGGGAUCCUGGUACAGACCCAAGAGAAGUUUCCACUGGCUUGUCUCUGGGAUUAGAAACUGGCCUCAGGAGAUUUAAAACCACCCAGAG